AACAUGCUCAGAAAAUUAACUUCAGCUGGGUACUGGUUAACUCUGUAGAGGACUCAUGACUGUGUGGUGAGCGUGAACAGUUCUUGCCACAGGCAAUCAUGGUUGAAAGUCCAAGGGCAAAAAAGAUGUUGAUUCCACACAACAUGAAGCAAGUGCCACAAGACACCCUGUGCUACCUCUGAACUCUGACAGCAAGAAGAAGACAUCCUGAUAUAGUUUCUUAUCCUUGGACCAGACUCUGAGCCCACAUAAACCUACUUUCUUUGUUGCUUAGUCUGUGGCAUUGUGCUACCUACAAACAAAACAGGGACAAAAUCUCUCCAGAGAAAGACUUUGCUUUGCUGGCCUCUGUAUCCCUGGCAUCUGAAUAGUGUCUGAGCACAAUAGGCACUCGACCGAUAUUUGCUGAAGGAAUAAAGGAGGACUGUGUUGCUGAAAUUUCAAAGGCACUGCCCUGCUGGUACCUCCACUGGAAAAUACAUCAAUGCAUGAGUGAGAUUUGACCAUCACCAUUGAGAUAGCAGCGAAGGACACUUUUUCAACUGCAUCUAAGGCCAGGCUAGGGAGCUGUCAUUUAAGAUGGCCCUCACCUCAGCCCACAUUCUCCUAAGGCAGCU